UACAGAGGUCUCAAGCGUUUGUUCGGAUUCAUUGGGCGUAAAGGGUGCGUAGGCGGUGGGGCAAGUCAGGUGUGAAAUCCCGGAGCUCAACUCUGGAACUGCACUUGAUACUGCCUUACUAGAGUACUGGAGAGGAGACUGGAAUUUACGGUGUAGCAGUGAAAUGCGUAGAUAUCGUAAGGAAGACCAGUGGCGAAGGCGAGUCUCUGGACAGUUACUGACGCUGAGGCGCGAAAGCCAGGGGAGCAAACGGG
rnacentral:rRNA from 1 species